AUUGAACGCUGGCGGCAGGCCUAACACAUGCAAGUCGAGCGGAUGAAGGGAGCUUGCUCCUGGAUUCAGCGGCGGACGGGUGAGUAAUGCCCAGGAAUCUGCCUGGUAGUGGGGGAUAACGUCCGGAAACGGGCGCUAAUACCGCAUACGUCCUGAGGGAGAAAGUGGGGGAUCUUCGGACCUCACGCUAUCAGAUGAGCCUAGGUCGGAUUAGCUAGUUGGUGGGGUAAAGGCCUACCAAGGCGACGAUCCGUAACUGGUCUGAGAGGAUGAUCAGUCACACUGGAACUGAGACACGGUCCAGACUCCUACGGGAGGCAGCAGUGGGGAAUAUUGGACAAUGGGCGAAAGCCUGAUCUAGCCAUGCCGCGUGUGUGAAGAAGGUCUUCGGAUUGUAAAGCACUUUAAGUUGGGAGGAAGGGCAGUAAGUUAAUACCUUGCUGUUUUGACGUUACCAACAGAAUAAGCACCGGCUAACUUCGUG
rnacentral:rRNA from 1 species